rnacentral:rRNA from 1 species
AUGCCUCGGUUCACCUGCUUCCUGAUGUCCAAUUAUUUUUUGUUGUUGCUAUAUUCAACCUCAUCUCUGAAAGCCUACACCUUCCUGUGCUGUUGCUAUAUUCACAAGUUUGACAGGAGAAGGGACUGGAGGCAUACAGUAGGCAGAACAGUGGAACAAAACUCAGCUUCAAUUAAUCGACAUGGUGUUCGCAAAUGGAAAGUCGAGUUGGUGGACACAAUGGACAAUAAGCCCAUGAAGCUCCAGAAGUCCAGAUUUGGAUACGUCUUGGAUGUGACUAAUUGUAUGACAUGCCGAUAUCUGGCGAGCUUGGUGUGUUCUGUUUUCUCACACCCACCGCUGUCGCACAAGGUGAUUGUUGGACGUGAGCGAGCUUCAGGAGCACUUCCUACAGGCUGUCGGCCGUUCACAAUUUUACUGAUCUGGACACACCACCUUCUCAGGUCUAAAAUUUUGAGUUUUCAGGUCUAA